rnacentral:rRNA from 1 species
CCUACGGGUGGCAGCAGUGAGGAAUAUUGGUCAAUGGACGCAAGUCUGAACCAGCCAUGCCGCGUGCAGGAAGACGGCUCUAUGAGUUGUAAACUGCUUUUGUACGAGGGUAAAUCCCGAUACGUGUAUCGGGUUGAAAGUAUCGUAAGAAUAAGGAUCGGCGCACUCCGUGCCAGCAGCCGCGGUAAUACGGAGGAUUCAAGCGUUAUCCGGAUUUAUUGGGUUUAAAGGGUGCGUAGGCGGUUCGGUAAGUUAGAGGUGAAAUACCGCGGCUCAACGCCGGCACUGCCUCUGAGACUGUCGGGCUAGAGUUUAGUUGAGGUAGGCGGAAUGUAUGGUGUAGCGGUGAAAUGCAUAGAGAUCAUACAGAACACCGAUGGCGAAGGCAGCGUACCAAACUACGACUGACGUUGAGGCACGAAAGCGUGGGGAGCAAACAGGAUUAGAUACCCUUGUAGUC